CCUACGGGAGGCAGCAGUGAGGAAUAUUGGUCAAUGGGCGCGAGCCUGAACCAGCCAAGUAGCGUGAAGGAUGACUGCCCUACGGGUUGUAAACUUCUUUUAUAAAGGAAUAAAGUGAGGCACGUGUGCCUUUUUGUAUGUACUUUAUGAAUAAGGAUCGGCGAACCCCGUGCCAGCAGCCGCGGUAAUACGGAGGAUCCGAGCGUUAUCCGGAUUUAUUGGGUUUACAGGGAGCGUAGAGGGGUUGUUAAGUCAGUUGUGCACGUUUGCGGCUCAACCGUAAAAUUGCAAUUGAUACUUGCAGCCUUUAGUACAGUUGAGGUAGGCGGAAUUCGUUUUGUAGCGGU
rnacentral:rRNA from 1 species